rnacentral:rRNA from 1 species
UACGUAGGGUGCGAGCGUUAAUCGGAAUUACUGGGCGUAAAGCGCACGUAGGCGGAUCGAUAAGUAAGAGGUGAAAUCCCAGAGCUCAACUCUGGAACUGCCUUUUAAACUGUCGAUCUGGAGCAGAGUAGAGGUGAGUGGAAUUCCGAGUGUAGAGGUGAAAUUCGUAGAUAUUCGGAGGAACACCAGUGGCGAAGGCGGCUCACUGGACUCUUGCUGACGCUGAGGUGCGAAAGCGUGGGGAGCAAACAGG